rnacentral:rRNA from 1 species
UACGGAGGUGGCAAGCGUUGUUCGGAAUUACUGGGCGUAAAGGGCGCGUAGGCGGUUUGGCAAGUCAGAUGUGAAAGCCCCGGGCUUAACCCGGGAAUUGCAUCUGAAACUGCUUAACUUGAGUUCUGGAUGGGGUAGUGGAAUUCCCAGUGUAGCGGUGAAAUGCGUAGAUAUUGGGAGGAACACCUGCGGCGAAGGCGGCUACCUGGACAGUGACUGACGCUGAGGCGCGAAAGCCAGGGGAGCGAACGGG